AAUCUUUUUUUAUUCCGCUGUCUUGUUUCGGCGCUGUAUUAUUUCAAAUCUAGGGUUUCUUCUUCCUCGUAGCUCUCGUCUUCUGAUUCCAAUCUUUCAGUUUAUCAGUAGAUUAUGGUGAGAUGAUGAGCCUUUCCCCAGAUGAUCGACAAUGAGCAUACUGAGCGCUAAUUUCUUCUCCAUUAAGGAGAUCAAGCCAGGACUCUGAUCGCCUUAUUCUUCUAAUUAGUAAAAGGUUUUCACAUUUGAUCUUUUGUAUGUUUGUGUAAAUUAUAGGUGGUCACAAUGAUUAUUUAUCGCAAGAUUUUUGAUGGUAUUUCAAAUUUAGGAAGUCCAUUCGAGACGGAGGAUAUUUUUCUGGGUGAAAAUAUUCUUAGCUCUGUUGGAGCAAACAAAUCAUGUUUGCAUAGUCCAGAGUUAACGUCACAUAAAGAGUCUUGAGGUGUUGAUGGAUCUCCUUGGAUUCCUUGGCAAAUCCUCCAUCUCGAGGCGGUCUCAUAUUCCAUCGCCUGGAAUAGCAGCGUCGCUGCAGUUACCUCUUGGGAUUGGCCAUGAGACAUAUAUUCUGUAAAAAUUUUGGAUUGAAAAAUACGUUGUUUAUCAUUUUUUAUUGAAUUUGUAGGGGUUUCCAGUGUUUUUUUCUUCUUGUAUGCCCUCUUUCUUAUAAUUCUCCUCGCUGCUUUUAUGUUCAAAGAUUCGUGUGUUUUUGUUUUUUAUUUUUAUCGAUAUUAAUGUAGUAUAUUUGAUGUGAUGUUCCUUUCCUCGAAUGAUCGAUAGUGAACACGGUGAGCGAUUUUUACUUAAAUUUGAGUAGUGGAAUUCAAGCCAGGAUUCUUUCUUUUUUUCAUACUUAGAUUAUGAGCAUUCCCAAGACUUGGUUAAUAAGUAGAUUAUGGCGAGAUGAUGAUCCUUUCCCCAGAUGAUCGACUAUGAACAUUCUGCGCGCUAUUUUUAUUCUCCCUCUAGGAGAUCAAGCCAGGACUCUGAUCGCCAAUGCUUUACUAUUGAACUUCGGCGUUUAAUUGAUUGUGUAAGUAAAUCGAUGGUUCAUGUUGUUUUAGUUUUUUUUAAUUUUUUUUUAAAUAGAACUUCGUCUGUCCAUUUAUGUUAAAAAAACAUAUGUUUAAAAAUCACUGAUUCUGGCGGAGGAUAUUUUUCUGGGAGAAAGUAUCCUUAGCUCUGCUGGAGCAAACAAAUCAUGCUUGUACCAGAGUUAACGUCACACAAAGAGUCUUGAGUUGUCGAUGGGUCUUCCUUCAGAUCCUCAAUCUUGAGGCGGUCUCAUAUUCCAUCGCCUAGAAUAUCAUCGCUGCCAUUACUUCUUGGGAUUUUUAGAUUGAAUAGUUUAGUUUUCUAGUUUUAUCUAACAUGUAGAAGGUAAAAUGGGGAACAGCAAUUGACAAUCAAAAUGGAUGGGAUAGAUGCUCCCUGGUUUUGGUUUCUGAUUCAGUUCACUAGUACUUUGUGUGCUUGGGACAUGUUAUAUUCAACUCAACCCUUUGUCGGUGUUUCAAUCUUAA